rnacentral:RNase_P_RNA from 1 species
UGGAGGCGGCAGGCGCUCGCGGCCCGCUCCGGCGGGCCGAGGAAAGUCCGAACUCCUGAUGGGAGCACGCUGGGUAACCCCCAGCCGCGGCAACGCGAGGGAAAGUGCCACAGAAAAGACACCGCCCCGCCUCGGGCGGGGUAAGGGUGAAAAGGUGGGGUAAGAGCCCACCGCCCGGCCGGCGACGGCCGGGGCACGGCAAACCCCGUGCGGAGCAAGGCCAAAUAGGGGGAUCGACGGGGCCCAUCACCGGAUCCGUCGAAAGGCGGGCGAUCCCCGGGUAGGCCGCUCGAACCGGCCGGCGACGGUCCGGUCAGAGGAAUGAGCGCCCCCCGCGGCAACGCGGGGACAGGAUUCGGCUUAUCGCUUCCUCCAGCGC